GGGGUUGUGGCUCAGUAGUAGAGCAUUUGCCUUGCAUGCAUGAAGCAAGGGUUUGAUCCUCAGCACCA
rfam:Ictidomys tridecemlineatus contig069685, whole genome shotgun sequence.